UUGCGGCGAUACCACGCUGUAACACCGGUUCCCGUACGAUUACCGAAGUUAAGCAACGUCGAUCCUGGUUAAUAGCUAGAUGGUUAACCGUUUGGGUG